GAGUUUGAUCGUGGCUCAGGAUGAACGCUGGCGGCGUGCUUAACACAUGCAAGUCGAACGAAGCGCCUUAUUUGAUUUUCUUCGGAACUGAAGAUUUGGUGACUGAGUGGCGGACGGGUGAGUAACGCGUGGGUAACCUGCCCUGUACAGGGGGAUAACAAUCAGAAAUGACUGCUAAUACCGCAUAAGACCACAGCACCGCAUGGUGCAGGGGUAAAAACUCCGGUGGUACAGGAUGGACCCGCGUCUGAUUAGCUGGUUGGUGAGGUAACGGCUCACCAAGGCGACGAUCAGUAGCCGGCUUGAGAGAGUGAACGGCCACAUUGGGACUGAGACACGGCCCAAACUCCUACGGGAGGCAGCAGUGGGGAAUAUUGCACAAUGGGGGAAACCCUGAUGCAGCAACGCCGCGUGAGUGAAGAAGUAUUCGGUAUGUAAAGCUCUAUCAGCAGGGAAGAAAGUGACGGUACCUGACUAAGAAGCCCGGCUAACUACGUGCCAGCCG
rnacentral:rRNA from 1 species